CAGCCGCCACGGGAAUACGGAGGGUGCAAGCGUUAAUCGGAAUUACUGGGCGUAAAGCGUGCGUAGGCGGUUCGUUAAGUCUGUUGUGAAAGCCCCGGGCUCAACCUGGGAAUGGCAAUGGAUACUGGCGAGCUAGAGUGUGUCAGAGGAUAGUGGAAUUCCCGGUGUAGCGGUGAAAUGCGUAGAGAUCGGGAGGAACAUCAGUGGCGAAGGCGGCCAUCUGGGACAACACUGACGCUGAGGCACGAAAGCGUGGGGAGCAAACAGGAUUAGAUACCCCAGUAGUCCCUGUCUCUUAUAA
rnacentral:rRNA from 1 species